UGAGGCUGGAUAAUAUUGAUGGAAAUUGUGUGUGUUCUGUUGGACCAGAUUGCUGCCAAUAAAAGCAAGUUGAAGAAUAAUCUGGUGCCAUAAUCUGCUUUUUGGUGAAUGUGGAGCACAAGAGUGAUGACACAAAUUGUCCAGACCACAUCUACUGAGCAGCGUGCCUGUCAAAUGACUCCCUAGCCUUCUUCCAGUUUCUGAACCCCAGAGAAAUAUAGGACUGUAAUGGAGCCAGGGGAAGAUUUUGAACCAGCUCUCCUGGAAGUGAAGAGUGCGGUUCGGCAGAGUUUGUGGCUCGAUUAGCUGUGCUGCUGGUUGGUAUGGGGAACCUGGACCCUCAGCUGUAUGGAUCUGGUUUGCGUGUGGAGCGUUAUCCUGCUUCCCCACAUCAGUAGCUGAUGACUCGACCUAUAAUUUGAACCAAUGCAAAGCCCUGCAGAUGGAUAAAACUUGCACAUGUUUGCUUCCUGAACCCUCACCUGCUGAAUCUGAUCUGAGCUUGUUUCAACACUCUCCAUUUCUUCAUCCAGUGAUUGCACUUGCUGUAAGAGUAUACCAAAUUUGGUUUCAUAUUUACUGUAAGGUUAUAUGAUUUUCUGUUGAUGUGAAUUUCACCUCUCCAUUCUCAGCUGCCUGUUCCUGAAUGUGUUCAUUUUCCUCUGUCACAUGCUGUUCCUGAUAGAAAAUGGAUAUUCAAAUAAACAUUACAACUUUUG